rnacentral:misc_RNA from 1 species
UGUCAACUUUAUAACAUUUAUUAAAAACAUAAAAUACAAAAAUAGGUAGCAAUGGAAACAUAUUUAGCAACUCUUGAUAAAAAUAUACAAUUGUAUCGCUAGUCUUCCACUUGUUCUUCAAUACUUUUAGUUGUUAGACUUGCUGAUCUGCACUUUAUUUGUGGAUAGAUUCUUAAGACUCCAAAUUUUGUUAUCCAUAUCCAACGCACUGAACUAGGUUUUAGGGUAAUCUCCAACCCUUAAUCUCCAUAGAUGUAAUUAAGAUGCUUGCUUACUAGGGCCUUCAUCGCCGAUUGAGAUUGCAUCGGCUCCAAAUCGACAAAUUGAAAGAAUUUUGGCAGAAACUCCAUUCCAUUUAACAAAACCUAAUAUAUUUUUGGGAUAAAAAGAGAGA